GGUGCUGCCCUCCUUGGCUGUUUACCUGACCCAGCUUGCAUGGGGCCAAGGAUCGGGGCAGGGGUCCCGGGGCCUGGUAACUCUGCCGAGAAACCCUAAGGGGAGAAAGCCUGAGAGCAAUGAGUAGCAAGAGCAGCAAGUGUCCUGUCUGAUGGCAGUCCUGUGCGAGAGAAGAGGGAGAAAGGCAAAGAAGUCCAAGGUGGUACACAGGACUAAGGUUGGUUGCCAUAGCCACCACCCCCAUCCCCACCUGCCUGCCCGGUUCCGGUAUCCUGCCCUGUCAUCCUGCCCCAUCUCACCGCCACUCCGGGACUGCUCCUGCAAUAAGGUUCUCAGGAUCCUCCCCUGCAGGGAACUCAACUCACGAAGCCGGCCCAGCUCCUCCGUCAGCUCGGUGUAGGCCAGCGCCAAAUUCACCCUGAGGUCAGAGGGCAGGGAGUGGGACAGAGGAAUGGGGACAGGGCUCUACAGUUCCAACUAUGAAGGAAAAACUGGUUCUGUCACUGCACUGGGUCCCCACUCCAGGACCCUCCUAUACCAACUGCAGGAAUUCUCUCUGCCUUUAAGGUUCACCUCAAAUGCCACUUCUACCAGGGAGCCUCCAUCUACUUCCAGAGACCCAUUCCCCAGGCAGAGGCAGUGGUUCCCAGCCUAGGGGCUGGGAUGGGGAGCAGAGAGAUUGCCAGGGGUCCCCUAUUCCCUAUGUGCUCCAAGCAUUGUCUGUGGCUAGAUCAUAGCUCACGCAGGUAUGUGUGAAUGUUUUCCUAAUCUCUGCAAAAGCUGUGAUGACAAAUAAAACACAGAUUCAUCAAA